rnacentral:lncRNA from 1 species
CUUCUUCCUUUUUGUUCAAUCGGCGGUGCACUCCAGCCCGGUUUCUUCUUCCUUUCGUGCAAACGGCGGUACAGGUACCUGUGAAUUUAAUUUAGUUUGAGAAUUUCUCCGUCAUCUGCUUCGAUUUUUAACAAUAAAAAAUAUGUGAUGAUUUCUCGACAGGUAUACUAAAAUUACUGAAGAACUCUGGCAGGUAAUACAAGUCUUUGUUUCAUGACCUGAAUAUUUUGUUUCAAAAUUAUUUAAUAUUUUUUUUUCUCGAACAAAAUUGUAUGAUCUUUCGUCUUAUUCAUGAAUUUGGUGCACCUUAAACGAAAUUAGGGUGGAUUGGGUGAGAUUUGGUUCAACGUGGGAUUGGGUGAGAUUUAGUAUGGUGAUGUAAAAAAAAUCUGAUUACAGUGGAUAAUUAUGUGGAAAUUAAAAGUUUGGAAUAAAUUCAUAAAGUAAUAGAGUAUGAAUUCACAUGUUAAUGCUGGUUAAGAUAUUUCUUUAUAUAUUUUUUUUUAUUUUUUGAAUUUCUUGGAAAAAUUCAUUCAUUUAUUGUUUCAAUUUUUUGUUGUUGUCUGAUGAAGAUUUGGGAUUAUCAUACUGUGAUUUUUGAAAUUUAUUGUUUGAAUAUUAACUCCAUAAAUUAAAUAUUGUGUUUGGAAUUCUCAUACAGG